AGUGAACGCUGGCGGUAGGCCUAACACAUGCAAGUCGAACGGCAGCACAGUAAGAGCUUGCUCUUACGGGUGGCGAGUGGCGGACGGGAGAGGAAUACAUCGGAAUCUACUUUUUCGUGGGGGCUAACGUAGGGAAACUUACGCUAAUACCGCAUACGACCUACGGGUGAAAGCAGGGGAUCUUCGGACCUUGCGCGAUUGAAUGAGCCGAUGUCGGAUUAGCUAGUUGGCGGGGUAAAGGCCCACCAAGGCGACGAUCCGUAGCUGGUCUGAGAGGAUGAUCAGCCACACUGGAACUGAGACACGGUCCAGACUCCUACGGGAGGCAGCAGUGGGGAAUAUUGGGCAAUGGGCGCAAGCCUGAUCCAGCCAUACCGCGUGGGUGAAGAAGGCCUUCGGGUUGUAAAGCCCUUUUGUUGGGAAAGAAAAGCAGCAGGUUAAUACCCCGCUGUUCUGACGGUACCCAAAGAAUAAGCACCGGCUAACUUCGUG
rnacentral:rRNA from 1 species